rnacentral:misc_RNA from 1 species
AGUCAUCAACCCCUCCCGUUUCGUGCGAGAAGGGUUGGAUGUGGGGGCUCUGCUGCCGUUGAGGCGGCUCCCCUCAAAUGCAUCGGUUGGGCCUGUGGGUCGAACUCGACUGGGCGUUGUACCAUCCUCGCUCGACAGAGACGUUCCCCUUUCUGCGCCCUUCCCCGACCUGCCUAUCGAGAGUGGCGGUCAAGCCACAAACUUUGAA